rnacentral:rRNA from 1 species
CCGCACGGGUGAGUAACACGUAUCCAACCUGCCGUCUACUCUUGGACAGCCUUCUGAAAGGAAGAUUAAUACAAGAUGGCAUCAUGAGUCCGCAUGUUCACAUGAUUAAAGGUAUUCCGGUAGACGAUGGGGAUGCGUUCCAUUGGAUAGUAGGCGGGGUAACGGCCCACCUAGUCUUCGAUGGAUAGGGGUUCUGAGAGGAAGGUCCCCCACAUUGGAACUGAGACACGGUCCAA